GAAAUGCGAUACGUAAUGUGAAUUGCAGAAUUCAGUGAAUCAUCGAAUCUUUGAACGCAUAUUGCGCUCUCUGGUAUUCCGGAGAGCAUGCUUGUUUGAGUAUCAGUAAACACCUCAACUCCUUUUUUUCUUUUUUGGAAAAUGGGAGCUGGACUUGAGUGAUCCCAACGCUUUUUCUCACCGGAAAAGUGGCGGGUUACUUGAAAUGCAGGUGCAGCUGAACUCUUCUCUGAGCUAUAAGCAUAUCUAUUUAGUCUGCCUAAAAAACAGAUUAUUACCUUUGCUGCAGCUAACAUAAAGGAGAUGAGUUCUUGUGCUGACUGAUGCAGGAUUCACAGAGACAGCUUCGCGGCUGACUUUGUAAACUCGAUCUCAAAUCAAGUAAGACUACCCGCUGAACUUAA
rnacentral:misc_RNA from 1 species